rnacentral:rRNA from 1 species
GACGAACGCUGGCGGCGUGCUUAACACAUGCAAGUCGAACGAUGAAGAAGAGAAACGCGAACUUCGGUUCAACUUUCACUUCGGAUUAGUGGCAGACGGGUGAGUAACGCGUGAGCAACCUACCUCUUACAAAGGGAUAGCCUCGGGAAACCGUGAUUAAUACCAUAUGACACAUUCAUAAGGCAUCUUAAGAAUGUUAAAGCUACGGCGGUAAGAGAUGGGCUCGCGUCCCAUUAGCUAGUUGGUGAGGUAACGGCCCACCAAGGCGACGAUGGGUAACCGGGCUGAGAGGGUGAACGGUCACAUUGGAACUGAGACACGGUCCAAAAUCCUACGGGAGGCAGCAGUGGGGAAUAUUGCAAAAUGGAGGGAACUCUGAUGCAGCGACGCCGCGUGAGCGAUGAAGGAAUUCGUUUCGUAAAGCUCUGUUCUAUGGGAAGAAAAGGACUGUACCAUAGGAGAAAGCCCCGGCUAAAUACGUG